rnacentral:misc_RNA from 1 species
GCCAUAUGGCCCGUGAGUGCCCAAACGACCCAGUGUGCAACCUGUGCAACAUUUCUGGCCACGUUGCCCGCCAAUGCCCGAAAGCUAACGUGGCAUCUGAGAUCCAUGGAGGGCCUUUCCGUGAAAUCAUUUGUCGCCUAUGCAACCAGCCGGGGCAUAUCAGCCGUGACUGCAUCGCAAUUAUCAUCUGCAACACUUGUGGCGGGCGUGGUCACAUUUCGUAUGAGUGUCCUUCGGGGAGAGGUCUUCAGCGAGGCUUUCGCAGGUAUUGAUUAUGGCAGACCUGCCUCCAGCUGUGGAGAUAGUGGGAUCUUGACGCUUGGUAGUGCUGAGCAUAUUGGUUUAUAUUCCUUAGGAAAGUAUCUACUGUGGGACAGUAAUUUUGGCUGGAGGGUGAGGUAGUUGCUUUUGAUUCAAGUACUUGAGGUAUUAGAGGUACUUUGUUUUUCAGAAUUUCGUGAUGGACAUCAUGUGAAAUGUUGUAUUUGUUGAGGGUAGUGAGAACGAAACACUGCAAUUGCAUUAACAAUGUGAAGCUGUUUGGACACCAGAAUUG